AGUCGACGGGAUUAGUAGACAGAAACCUCGGUGGAAGAUUACUAAUGAGAGUGGCGAACGGGUGAGUAACGCGUGAGCAACCUGCCUAUGACAGUGGGAUAGCCUCGGGAAACCGGGAUUAAUACCGCAUAAAAUCGUAGAAACACAUGUUUUAACGGUCAAAGAUUUAUCGGUCAUAGAUGGGCUCGCGUCUGAUUAGCUAGUUGGUGAGAUAACAGCUCACCAAGGCGACGAUCAGUAGCCGGUCUGAGAGGAUGAACGGCCACAUUGGAACUGAGACACGGUCCAAACUCCUACGGGAGGCAGCAGUGGGGAAUAAUGCACAAUGGGGGAAACCCUGAUGCAGCGACGCCGCGUGAACGAAGAAGGUAUUCGUAUCGUAAAGUUCUGUCCUAUGGGAAGAUAAUGACAGUACCAUAGAAGAAAGCUCCGGCUAAAUACGUGCCAGCAGCCGCGGUAAUACGUAUGGAGCGAGCGUUGUCCGGAAUUAUUGGGCGUAAAGGGUACGCAGGCGGUUUAAUAAGUCGAAUGUUAAAGAUCGGGGCUCAACCCCGUAAAGCAUUGGAAACUGAUAAACUUGAGUAGUGGAGAGGAAAGUGGAAUUCCUAGUGUAGUGGUGAAAUACGUAGAUAUUAGGAGGAAUACCAGUAGCGAAGGCGACUUUCUGGACACAAACUGACGCUGAGGUACGAAAGCGUGGGGAGCAAACA
rnacentral:rRNA from 1 species